rnacentral:tRNA from 1 species
GCCAUUUUAACUCAGUGGUAGAGUAACGCCAUGAUCAGGCGUAAGUCAUCGGUUCAAAUCUUGAUAGCA